rnacentral:rRNA from 1 species
AGUGGGGAAUUUUGGACAAUGGGCGCAAGCCUGAUCCAGCCAUGCCGCGUGCAGGAUGAAGGCCUUCGGGUUGUAAACUGCUUUUGUACGGAACGAAAAAGUUCUCUCUAAUACAGGGGGCGAAUGACGGUACCGUAAGAAUAAGCACCGGCUAACUACGUGCCAGCAGCCGCGGUAACACGUAGGGUGCGAGCGUUAAUCGGAAUUACUGGGCGUAAAGCGUGCGCAGGCGGUUAUAUAAGACAGAUGCGAAAUCCCCGGGCUCAACCUGGGGACUGCAUUAGUGACUGUAUAGCUAGAGUGCGGCAGAGGGGGAUGGAAUUCCGCGUGUAGCAGUGAAAUGCGUAGAUAUGCGGAGGAACACCGAUGGCGAAGGCAAUCCCCUGGGCCUGCACUGACGCUCAUGCACGAAAGCGUGGGGAGCAAACAGGAUUAGAUACCCUGGUAGUCCACGCCCUAAACGAUGUCAACUGGUUGUUGGGCCUUCACUGGCUCAGUAACGAAGCUAACGCGUGAAGUUGACCGCCUGGGGAGUACGGCCGCAAGGUUA